UAGUCCCAUAGCCAAAUAAAAAUAGACAAAGGGAACAAGUAUUUUCCUUGCUAGUUCAAAGAGAGAUACCCUUGGGAUGGACAGUCGGCCUGUUAUUGUUUGCUUCCUCAUGGUGCUAGCACUAUUGGCAAAUCCUACUUCUUCAGAGAAUUGCAUGGUGGUUGACGACAGAUCCACUGGCGGGGAUAUUUUUUGCACCAAGCCGAUCUGCAAGUUGACGUGCACAUUUGAGGCACGUGAUAGGAAAGGCAAGCUCAAGGACUACCACUGUGAGAAGAAGAAUAUCUACACCUCUUACUGCUUUUGUACCGUUUGCUUCGAUUGACCAACGUCCUAGAAAAUGAAAUACUUCUUAUGUACUAUUUGCUUGAAGAAGGAUCAAAAUAUGUAUAACCUCAUGUUGAGGAUGGAAUAAAACAAAUUAAUUACUUUGUUAA